rnacentral:rRNA from 1 species
UGGGGAAUAUUGGACAAUGGGCGAAAGCCUGAUCCAGCCAUGCCGCGUGUGUGAAGAAGGUCUUCGGAUUGUAAAGCACUUUAAGUUGGGAGGAAGGGCAUUAACCUAAUACGUUAGUGUUUUGACGUUACCGACAGAAUAAGCACCGGCUAACUCUGUGCCAGCAGCCGCGGUAAUACAGAGGGUGCAAGCGUUAAUCGGAAUUACUGGGCGUAAAGCGCGCGUUGGUGGUUUGUUAAGUUGGAUGUGAAAUCCCCGGGCUCAACCUGGGAACUGCAUUCAAAACUGACUGACUAGAGUAUGGUAGAGGGUGGUGGAAUUUCCUGUGUAGCGGUGAAAUGCGUAGAUAUAGGAAGGAACACCAGUGGCGAAGGCGACCACCUGGACUAAUACUGACACUGAGGUGCGAAAGCGUGGGGAGCAAACA